rnacentral:lncRNA from 1 species
GAUAGGCAAUUAUUAGUCAUUUUGAUUACACACUUAAGUGCACAUUGCAAGAACAAUGUGAAAAUAAGGCUUAAUGGCAUAUGUAUAGCCUUGGAUAUAUACGUUGGUUUUCAAUUACAGAUCUCUGUGUGAUCCAGUUUUCGGCAAUAAAGAAUAUAAUAUUGUUAAUGACUGUUUCCUGAAAUGACUUUGUGCAUGUUCUUUGUUAUUAAACAUUUGUAGCAGUAGCCAUCCAUUCCCGAGGUUCCUUCUUCUUACUUACAUUUCUGACAUCUGAAUGAUCAAAGUUCUUACCUUAAACCAUUACACCUAUAUAGAUUAUAGAAAAGUUUGUUGCAAAACUAAUUUACGAGAAAUCCACUAAUUUGUUUAUGUAUAUAUUGUUUGCCCUAGAUAAAAAGUUAAAUGCAAGCAUUCUAGGAUGAUAGGUACAGAAAAUUUAAUAUGGCUGUGAGUUGUGGUGGUAGGGUAUAAAAAGAUAUGGAUCAGGUCUACUGCAAAGGGUAUAUGUAUAGAGAACAAAAACCAUAGACUUCCAGGUGCAGGCCACAACCAUGGGAUUGUUGCGAAUUAAUCCUGACAUAGAAUUUGAGUAGACUUGGAAGCAAACAAGGAGUCACAUGACUGAUGGCAAACCGAGGAGCCAUGGCUAUUUACUUGAUGUGAACAUAUCCAAUAUAAUGUGAACGUGUCUUAGCAAUUUGAAACAGGUUAGGGGUUGCCCAUAUAUAUAUAACACUUUUUGAAAUAAACAGAGAAGAAUGUGCUAGUUGUGUUGAGUCUUGUUGAGUCUUUAGAUUUUCGCAUACUUAUGUGCAUUCGAUCCUUGGGCAAAGCCAACAAGUUAUAUCAAGAGCGUGGUGUAUGUCAUUGUGGGAGGCGACCUCACCAGCAACAAGGACGGUGGCUCAACAUCUCGAGCACUAGAGGGUAGUGGUCUGCCCCUCCACUAUCCCAUGCUAUCGAGGACCAACUAUACAAUCUGGG